rnacentral:lncRNA from 1 species
GGGGUCCACGUCCGCAAGAAGGAUGGGAGGUGGAACAGCAGACUGCGUGUGCGGCUGUACGGGCUAUCUGACCUUAGGAGAGUCCCCGAAGAGGCGCUACUCUCGAGCGGCGGGUCGUGAGGAGCCAGGGAUCCUGAAGCCCUGCCAGGUCCUUGCACUUUGCAUGAGGAAAUUAAGGACCAGGAUCGAGGUUAUGCAGGCGCCUCCUUGAUUACCAGGCCCCUUUCGACCCACAGAGCCUUCUCAUUGGCUGUUCCAUGGGCCUGGAAAACUCUCCUUACCCAUAACUCAACUGGUUCCCCCGGGGGGGGGGGGCGCUCUCCCUCAGAGGCUUAACUGACUUCACCUGAGGAUCCUUCUAGCUCUUAUAACUAGUCUCAGGCCUCAUAGGAAUGUUUAGAGCAUUAAAUGAGGUCGGUUAGGCUGCAGGUCAGUGCCCUGCAUACUGUGAGAAUUCAGUAAAUGUCAAUAGUUAUUAUUAUGCCUAGUUUGCUCAUAAGUUCAUGUCUGUCUCUUCCUGUGUUGGAUUCCCAAGACCAAGCACCAGUACCUGGCAGGUAGGAGGAACCCAACAAUGAUCAAUAAAGGAUCUACCAGUAGACCAGCCAGAGCUUACUGGUGUCUUGGCACCUGAAGUAGGGAGGUGCUAUCCAUGUGAAGCAAGAGUUUCUCCAUGUCAGGCCAGCACAUGGCUGGGGAUGCCCCCAAGCCAGCCUCCUGGUCUUCAAAUCCCAGAAUGGAGAGAGCAGAGGGCUCAGCAGGAGAGAGCUGUCACUUUGGGCCUUGGGACGUGCCUGUCCUCACCCUCACAAGCAUAUUGUGUCAUGAGCGAGACUUGGCCCAGCCUGCCCACCCUUCCCUGACUUCUGAGUGCUUCUACCUCCUGCAGUGUGGCUCUUGCCAGCUUGCUUGGAGAUAUAUGUUUAGGGCUCUUCUUACCCACCAGACUGGGCCAACACAGAGUCCUAUUUCUCUUUGUAUUCCUAACUUUGUCAGGCCCCAUGCUGUGGAUAAGGGAUGCCACACUGACAAACAGGGACACUGGGGAAGAGCCCUAUGAGCAGGAUGAGCAAGAACCUGCCGUGGGGGGGGGGCAGUUUAGCCAAGGGAACUGUAAAGUCAGGGCACAGAGGUGGCUAGUUCUAGUGGCAGAAAGGCCAGGGAGACUGGAGCUAGAGGGCCAAAAGGUGCUGAGUUAAGAGAUGAGCAGGGCCAGGCUGUGGAGGUCUUCAGGCCAUGGGAAGAGGGCUGUGGCUUACCCUAAGCACAGGGGCAGAGGCCAUCAUUGGAGGUGGGGUUAAUUCAGGCCUGUGAAAGCUCUACUGAAGAGAGGCAGGGAGCCUAGAAGAAGCCUGAUGCAAGCAUCCAGGCAAGAGGUGGAGACUGAAACCAGGCUGUAGCAGGGAACAUGAAGGAGGCAGGGCAUACUUCAGAGACAAACAGCUGUAGCACUGAUGACAGCAGCAGGCAGCGAAACCACUGAGCUAAAUCCCCGGCCCGGAUUUUGGAAAAUGGAGGAUCCACAAUUGAAAUGGGGAGGCGAAAGAGGACCAGGUUGGACAGGGGCUGGGUGGUGGCAGCAGGAGCUCCGUGUGGGCCGUGCUGAGUUUUCAACACCUAUUAGUCACCAGUGGAAAUGCCAAGUAGUGAUGUGUCUACAAGCUCCCAGCUGGGCAGAGAUGGGGUUUCUCUCUCCUUUGUACUCCAGCACCCUUGCCAGAGCCCAGCACAAUCCUGGCACCAGAUAAGAUUAGUGAGAGAAGGAACGACUGAAGCUGGACGAAAAGGUUUACAGUAGGCUUUCCGAGACCACCAGAGGGCAGCACCAUCCCAAAGACCAGUCUCCCCAGGGUGGUGAAGGCCCUCCACUGUCCUUUCCAAG